CAAUAGCGUAUAUUAAAGUUGUUGCGGUUAAAAAGCUCGUAGUUGGAUUUCUGCUGAGAACGACCGGUCCGCCCUUUGGGUGUGUAUCUGGCUCUUUCUUGGCAUCUUCUUGGUGAACGUUGCUGCACUUGACUGUGUGGAGCGCUACCCAGGACUUUUACUUUGAGGAAAUUAGAGUGUUUCAAGCAGGCAUACGCCUUGAAUACAUUAGCAUGGAAUAAUAAGAUAGGACCUCGGUUCUAUUUUGUUGGUUUCUAGAGCUGUGGUAAUGAUUAAUAGGGAUAGUUGGGGGCAUUCGUAUUUAACUGUCAGAGGUGAAAUUCUCGGAUUUGUUAAAGACGGACUACUGCGAAAGCAUUUGCCAAGGAUGUUUUCAUUGA
rnacentral:rRNA from 1 species